rnacentral:rRNA from 1 species
UACGGGGGGGGCAAGCGUUGUUCGGAAUUACUGGGCGUAAAGGGCUCGUAGGCGGCCAACUAAGUCAGACGUGAAAUCCCUCGGCUUAACCGGGGAACUGCGUCUGAUACUGGAUGGCUUGAGGUUGGGAGAGGGAUGCGGAAUUCCAGGUGUAGCGGUGAAAUGCGUAGAUAUCAGGAGGAACACCGGUGGCGAAGGCGGUUCUCUGGGAAUGUCCUGACGCUGAGGAGCGAAAGUGUGGGGAGCGAACAGG